rnacentral:tRNA from 1 species
CGAUUAGCUCAGUCGGUAGAGCACUUGACUUUUAAUCAAGUUGUCGGGGGUUCGAUCCCCCCAU